rnacentral:lncRNA from 1 species
ACAGAUCCCACUGCGGCCGGCGGACAUGGAGGGGUCUUUACUGAGGGGGGAGGGGCGGGGGGCGCCCCCCACGGAGGUUUUGGGGUCGUUUUCCCCAAUUUUGGUCCGGGAUGGAUUUGGGGGUGGGGGGGGAGGGGGGCUGGAAUGGAUUCCCAGGGUCUGGGAUGGUUUCUUGGAGGUCUGGAAUGGAUUUGGGGGGGUCCGGAAUGGAUUCUGGGGCUCAGGAAUGGAUUUCAGGGGGUCCGGAAUGGAUUUGGGGAGUCCGGAAUGGAUUUGGGGAGUCCGGAAUGGAUUUGGGGAGUCCGGAAUGGAUUUGGGAGGGUCUGGAAUGGAUUCCUGAGGUCAGGAAUGGAUUCCGGGUGGUCAGGAAUGGAUUUUCGGGGGUCCGGAAUGAAUUUGGGGUGUCAGGAACGGAUUCCAAAGGUCCGGAAUGGAUUGGAGGGGGGCUGGAAUGGAUUUGGGGGUCCCGGGUCCCCCCAAAACCGCGGGCACGGAAACGUCCCCGAGAGUCCUUCCCCCUCCUGCCCCUCCGGCCCGGGGGGGCUCGGCCCCGGUUCCGGGGGGUCCCGGUCCCGGUUCUGGAGGCUCCUGGUUCUGGUCCUGGACGUUUCCCGGUCCUGGUUCCAGUCCCGGUCUGCUUCCAGAGGAAUCCAGUUCCAGUUAUUUCCCAGUCCUGAUUCCAGUUCCGGAGUUUUCCUGGUCCCAGUCCAGGUCCGAGUUCCAGUUCCGGAGUUUUCUUGGUCCCAGUUCUGGAUCCAGAGUUUCCCUGGUCCCGGUCCCAUCCAGUCCCAGUCCCGGUUCCAGUUCUGGUUCUGGUUGUGUCCCGGUCCCGGUUCCAGUUCCAGUUCCAGAGUUUCCCAGUCCAGGUCCCAGUUCUGGUUCCGGAUUUUCCCUGGUCCUGGACCCGGUUCCAGCUCCAGUUCGGAUUUUCCCUGAUCCUGGUUCCAAUCCUGGUUCCGGUUCCAAUCCCGGUCCCAGUUCCAGUCCUGGUUCUGGUUCUUUCCCAGUCCCGGUCCCGGUUCCAGUCCCGGUUCUGGUUCUUUCCCAGUCCCGGUUCCGGUUCCAGUUCCGGAUUUUCCCUGGUCCUGAUCCCAAUCCCGGUCCCGGUUCCAGUCCUGGUUCUGGUUCUUUCCCAGUCCCGGUCCCGGUUCCAGUCCUGGUUCUGGCUCUUUCCCAGUCCCGGUCCCGGUUCCAGUUCCGGAUUUUCCCCGGUCCCGCUCCCUUUCAGCCCAGGUGCAGCCGCUGGUGCCGGAGGAGGGCGGAGCUUCCCCCGAAGCCCCGCCCACAAUCCCCGCAGGUGAGGGGCGUGUCACCGUCAGGUGUGUCACGGGUGAGGGGCGUGGCACAGGUGAGGGGCGUGGGCGUGUCACAGGUGAGGGGCGUGGCACAGGUGAGGGCCGUGGGCGUGUCACAGGUGAGGGGCGUGGCACAGGUGAGGGGCGUGGCACAGGUGAGGGGCGUGGCACAGGUGAGGGCUGUGGCACCGCUGCCAGGUGUGUCCCAGGUGAAGGCCGUGGGCGUGGCACAGGUGAGGGGCGUGUCACAGGUGAGGGGCGUGUCACGGGCGAGGGGCGUGGCACCGCUGCCAGGCGUGUCCCAGGUGAGGCCCGUGUCCGGGGCGCGUCCGCUCAGGUGUGCCGGGGGGGCGUGUCCCUGGCCCAGCCCCGCCCCGCAGCGGGCGCAGCCCCGCCCCGGCCCCGCCUUCCUCCUCCUCCUCCUCCUCCCGCCGCCGCCCGGCUCCUCCCCGUGGGCGUGGCGGUGCUUGAGGAAGGCGGAGCUGUAGCUGAAGCCCCGCCCACACUCCGCACAGGUGAAGCGCCGGCGGCUCAGGUGCGCGCCCCGCCCGCGGCCCCGCCCGCGCUGGCCACGCCCCCUGCCCGAG